rnacentral:misc_RNA from 1 species
UCUCGGUAAACUUCCAUACAAUCGGAAUUAAAAUAAGAAAUGACACUUGGUAUACAGUCUACACACGGGAGAUACGUACUUGCUCUUCCGACCAUUUGAACAGCUCGCACGCCUUUCCGGAAUGUGGCCACUGCCCGAAGGGAGGAGAACCAGAGCUGUUAGUUGUCACACCAAAACAAUUGUCAACCUAGAUGCGGGGGUCUCAACGGGUGUGUAUAGGGGAGGGAACUAAAUCCGUGGUCCCGAUCGAUAUGUCACGUUUUAGUAUACUCAAAAGUGUGACUUAUCUUUAUCAGAUACUCCGACCGCUUUUUGCGAUUUUCGACUUUCGAGUGCGAUUUCUCAUUGAAUAAUCGAAAAAUUUCAAUCAUGUGUAACAAUUUCUGUGCAGAAGCCGAAACAUCGCAAGAUCGCGUUGAAGACCGGAAAUCUCAAGAGAGAGAGAGAGAGAUCUCCAGCGCGAUUUCGAGCGCGGUCACGGUUGAUCUUGAUAAAUCACAAAUACGUGUUCUCGUUUUUCGCGAAAAUGCGCCGCCGUCGCUUACUGCAACGUGACCUUCGAUAGAGGGAUUUAUUAUUAAUACUGGUGUUACAACCAUUGCAUAAUUUACUUCGGUCUACUUUGGGGGCACGUCGUAACACGGAGAGAUCGGUGUGCAUCUGCACUUGGUGGACCGUCAUGUGCUCGGGAAUAUAUUAUACCUCGCAUCAAAUCGCUUUCUCAAAUGUCAGAUAUCGGUUGCAGAGUGUCGGCGUUAUUGUUGUGAUGUUGGUGAGGUGGUGUCAAAUAUGCUUGCGAAAGAGAGAGAGAGAGAGAGAGAGAUACAUAUACAUGUAAGGGGAGAAAAUGAGAUAUUUUUAGCCGGUGUGUUCGAUAAACCCUGGGCAUCGAUUAUCAUCGUCCCCUGCAAGCUGGUGUAAGCUCACAGUGAAGCUCACGUCUUCGGUGGACUUUCUUGGUUGCGUGCCGGAUUCAAUUAAUCAGCCGCAGUUAGCGACAUUGAAAAUACAAUAUAUCGCGGAAAUGGAAUUCCUCGUGCGCGCGGCCAAGAUCGAUACGUCGCGCUUAAUAACGCGCUGACGUGGAUCUUUUGCCAAGGUAUUAAAAGCGGUCCGCAGUUAGAAAUAAGAACGACGCGACAAGAACGCGCAUCGUAUCUCGUUAAACUUAACUUAAACCGGAACUUCUCUCGAGCGACGCUCGAGGCGUGCUCUGUCGAGUCUGUGCAUGUGAACUGUGCUCUAUCUUUAAAAAAUGUACUCUAUCAUUAUCUGUUUUCUUCUGUUUUUUUUAGGUGGAUGCCGAAGAUAAAAUUCGCGUACUUCGAGUAUUGACGCAAAACUUUCAAGAUGGGCAUCUGCAACCACUAUCUACCUUCGUAAGAUCGACGAUAUUGCAUGUUGGAUUAGAUCAGAGUAGCACCAAAAUUUGUUGCAGCAGCUUGAUUCCAACAACGAUUAAUUGUACAACUUAUUACAAGUAAGGGCAAAAAGACGUUUCUCGAGAAAGUAUAAAUGAAAAUUAUAACAUUAAUUCCACGUGCAAUUGUAACAUUGAUUCUAUGAUACAUAAUACAUAAUACAUGAUACAUAAUACAUUUAAGAAAACGACCUUCGCGAGAAACGUUCGAUCAAUGCAAAGACAAUGCAUACCUUUAUAUAAGAAAAAUAUACAAGGUGACUCAAAAUAGUAAUUAAUCAAUUCCGUUCAAUUUUGCAGAUACAAGAGGCAAAUGUACGUGAAAUAUACAGUAUUGGGCAACCUUGUAUACCAAACAACACCCCAGCUCCAAACUGCCGCGAUCAUCGCAGCGAGCAGUCCAAAAAAGAAACUGAGCAAGUGAGCGCGAUAAUUUGAGACUGGGGAUGAAUGAGUUAUCAAUAAAAAUCCACGUAAGCACACUGAACGACAGAACGAAUAAUCGUUAGACAGCAAGCCUGAAACAUGAUACGAGCGUACCCGCCGACUGGUGUUACGUGGCAACCACUUAACGUGAAGACAUUGAUUGUAUAUUACGGCUCGGCAACGUGCAAGAAUGCGUUUCUGCGCGGUAAGCGGCCAUUGUAUUGUAAUUGUAUAUACUUGUGAACGUGAAGCUGAACGUGUUACGCAUUAAGUUAAUUGAUCUGCGACACAUGAUUGUCCGCUCCGUUCAAUCUGCCGUGCUUGUUAAUCAGGACCUCUUCGGGCCCCGAAGGGGACCGAGGAAGAAGAAGAAGCGGCCAACAAUGUUAGUGCCAACGUAUGCUAAUAACGACUGUAUGCUGCUGCAUUAAGGAGGAGAGAGGGCGAUGCGCUCGAUAAACUCGCUCAUGUAAUGCCAUCAGCUCUAGCGAAAGCCCAACGAUAAACAAUACGAGUAUCGAACGGAUCCAAGGGGGAAGCUUGUUGAUUGUGCCGGAUGCAUUUGCGCGAACGCGUUCGUUUAUUCUGACAAAGCUGUUAAGUGGGUGUUGAUAAACGGGAUGCGAAAAGGGAUGGAAAAGGAAGCCGGUAACAG